ACAGAAGAUCUCUAGGCCAAAGAAAUGGGUUUUACAAUUUGUACUGAAGGUGGUGAGAUCUGUGGUAGGACUCAUACCUUCCUGAGGUUAGACAGAAGGCACCUCAGGGAAGCCUGUGGCUUCUUCACUGACACAGAUGAGGAACUGAGGGACUAAGUGAUUUUCCCAAGAUCACGCAGGAAAUCUGUGGCAGAACAAAGAACUGAAGCUGGUUCUCCUGACUCCCAGGAUCCGUGCUUCUGGAGAGCUGGGGUUAGAUCUGGAAAGAACUGCAGAGGCACAAAUCCUCUGGUUGGAUGGUCCUGCAUGGAUUUCUCCUCCAACUUUUGACUGAAUCUUUAAAAACAAAUCACAACUGUACUUUCAUCUGCUUCAUUAUUACAGAAAUGAUCAAGGCAUCCUUUGUUUAUAUCAUCAUGUUUUGUUUUUCCUGGCAUGGCCGGCUUUAGGACAUGUGGGGCCCGAUUCGAAAGAGCUGCUGCCGAAAUGCCACCGAAGACAGCAGCAGCGAUUGAGCUGCUGCCGAAGAUAGCGGACACUGCGGGGCCCUCUGAAGCGCAGGGCCCAAUUGACAGGAAUCAGGGGAAUUGGCCUAAAGCCAGCCCUAUUUCCUGGUGAUUACACAUCUUUGUAUUAGUGAAGUUGUGUAGUUUUUUUUUCUUUUACUUUUUCUUGCAAAUUGUCUCUAGAGGAAUAGCAAAUGGGCUGAUUCCAUUCUCCCACUGUUCAAAAGUGAAAUAACUCUUUGGACUUAGAAGGAUAUAGAACAGGUAUUCGUGAGCGCUGAAUCAGCACAAAGUGUCUAUAGCAUUCACAUAGCUCAUAUACAAUACAGAUAAAAAUGCCUUCCUUGUAUUUGAAUAGACAUUGGGGAAAGGUUUUCAUUUGAAAGCACUCCAAAACUAUAGCCAUUUCUUAAAAAUGUCUGAAUAUUUCUGCCUAAUUGGAUUAAGAUCAAUUUUAUUAAAAGAUGCCUGAACCAGUUAAGUCCUUUGUGACAGAAAGUGAAGUAAAACAAAAACACCAAUGAUAAUAGUCAUGGUUUCUAUCA